AACGAGCUACAACCCUGUUACUUGCGCACGCCUCGAACCCCCAACUCCAGCUGACGUUCCCUCUGCCAAAGCAAGAAAACCACAAGUCGCCACAGGAGAGCGGACCCGGCUACACAAAGCGAGGCGCCCGACCAGAGGGACCCUCAGAGGACGCUCUCCGCCCCCGGGCCCGUCCCCGCCCAGCUCCUGCCCGGCGCCUCGCGCUCACCAGCUCUCCUCCUCCUCCUCCCAGCCUGACAGGCGCUCCAGCUCGUCGGGCCGCAGCGGCUCCACCUCGUCCAGCAAGCCGCCCUCGCCCGCCGCUAGCAAGGAGGUGGCGUCCCGCAGCUCUUCGCUACUCGUCCGCCUCGGGCCCGACCCGGGCCCGCCGCCCGACUUGGCGCUGAGGCCCAAGGGGAAGCCCCGAGGAGACGCCGCGCCGGAGGAGGGAAUGGACGCGCCGGCCCGAACCGGGCUGCCGGGCCCAAGGGAGCCGGCGCCCUGCACGGCCCCCGAGCGGCUCCUCAGCUGUUCGUUCUGCUUCUCCAGCUUCUUCACCAGCUCCUGCAGCUUCCGCACCUCCUGGUCCGCGUUCACGUUGGAGUUAACGUCCUCCAUCCCGGCCCCGCCGCCGCCGCCGCCUCCGCCGCCCGCUCGCUCUCGCAGCGACAGGGAAAGAGACGGAGGAAAGAGGCGUCGCCGCCGCUCACUCUAGCCGAGGCGCCGGCAUAUAGCAGGACCAGGCCCCACCGCCAGGGUCCCCCCACCUCGGGUUCCAAAGCGCCGCUGGCCCCAGCCGAACUGCCUCAUCUGCGCCGGCUCCGGGAUUGGGGGAGGCGGCGCCAAUAUCCGGCCCCUGCCGCCAUCUUCCCUCCGUCCCUCCGCCCCCCGCGGGCCGGCCCAGUCGGUGACCUCAGAGCGUCGGGGGUGGACGCGGCCGCCGGCGGGCGCUGAGAGGACCCGGCGCCAGCUCGCGGCGGGGCGGGGCCACGGACGGGGCCUAUGGGGCGGGGCCGGUGCUUGAGGGGCGGGGAUUAGGCCGGAAGGGGCGUGUCGGCGGAUGUGGGACGCGGCCGGGCUGGCUAGGGAGGGUCCCUGCAGAACGGGAGGCCAGCAGAAGGCUCGCGGCGGGCGGGGCUGAGGUGGCUAACAAGGUCCUCGAACAGCCUCGCCUGUUGGUCUGGGCGUGUGGGCGUGUUCUCCACCCCUUACAGGGAGUGUGGGACCCGCGGGCCAGUCUCGCCCUUGUUCCGGGCCGGAUCUCGAGUGGGCGCUCAGCCCGGCGGUGGAGAGACAGUUUACUUUGUUCAGCAAAUAUUUAAUCGAUGCCGACUUUUAAUUGGAGAUUGUCUCGGCUGGCAGGAGCCUCUAGACUGCCUGUGUCCUGUUUCUUCCCCUGAAAAUAAGAAACCCCAGUUUCAGACAGUUAAGAGAGGUCUAAGGUCAAAAUAAUCAUAAUUUCUUGAGUGCUUCCUACUGGCCAGACAGUGUGCUAAGCACUUUUAAAGGCAUUAUCUCAUCGGUUAAAACAUAGUUUUCCCGACUUAAAGUUUACAGCACACUGGGGCGGAAGCGGGGGAUAGUAAACCGCUUCUCUACUCCCUUUCUCCGUUUAUUGACUCACACUCUGUUCUUUGGAUCACUUCCUUCGGAAAAAGUUCCUCGUAGUGUGUCUUGACUUUUUUAAAAGUUGUAUGUUAAAAGUAGUUAAACACGCUGACAGAUACUGAAGAAUGAAGAAAAUUGUAAGAAUGUGAAGUCUGCCUUUAGAAUGCGGCAGGAAACCUAAACAAAACUUAAAUGCUUUGUUUUGAUCACAUUAUCACAGUCGUUGGUCUUCAGAGGUCAAUUGUGAACGGCUUUGGCUUGUGUUUGCAGCUUUUCUUCAGUUGCCGCCUCCACCCUUAGUUUAAUAACAAUGAUCCAGUCCUGUUACACCUGAGUGUGGACUCAUGCCAUGACUGACUUGCUUCUACCCUUUAGCUUUUCUAGUGCCAUAUUCUCCGCCUGCCAUAUCUGAUUCUUUUCUUAAAUCCCAUACUCUCUCAUUCAGGAAACCUCUUCCCAACAAUUCCACAAAGAUCUAAUUAUUCUGCAUAUUCUAGCACUACGUGAUCAAUAGUUCUCAAUAGGUGUUUGCACUUUUUUUUAAAUUGCUUUUUUCUCUAAGAAUUAUUUUUCGUUUGUUUUUGUCUGUUUACUUGAUUUAAGGACACUUCAUUUUUGCUUCCCAUGUCUAGUACACUGACACAGUGGACACUCAAUACUUGGUUUGUUGAAAGUUAAGUAGACUAUAAGUUCUACUUAAAACCACGUAGCUAUUUAUUCGUAGCAAAAAACGUAUUUGUGUUAAAAGUUUGCUGGCUAACUAUAAGUCGAGUAUUUUUCUAGCUAUACAGACCUAGUCAAAGGAUGUGAUUGUUUGCUAACAUAAUUGUCAAGUAAUAUAUAUUAUCUGUGUAAUGCUCAUCUAAAUAUCAUUGCUCUUUCUGACCAGUCUGAACUUGUUGCCGGAGGGUUAAAAAUCAUGACUACUUC
rnacentral:lncRNA from 1 species